GAUGAACGCUGGCGGCGUGCCUAAUACAUGCAAGUCGAGCGAACGGACGAGAAGCUUGCUUCUCUGAUGUUAGCGGCGGACGGGUGAGUAACACGUGGAUAACCUACCUAUAAGACUGGGAUAACUUCGGGAAACCGGAGCUAAUACCGGAUAAUAUUUUGAACCGCAUGGUUCAAAAGUGAAAGACGGUCUUGCUGUCACUUAGAGAUGUAUCCGCGCUGCAUUAGCUAGUUGGUAAGGUAACGGCUUACCAAGGCAACGAUGCAUAGCCGACCUGAGAGGGUGAUCGGCCACACUGGAACUGAGACACGGUCCAGACUCCUACGGGAGGCAGCAGUAGGGAAUCUUGCACAAUGGGCGAAAGCCUGACGGAGCAACGCCGCGUGAGUGAUGAAGGUCUUCGGAUCGUAAAACUCUGUUAUUAGGGAAGAACAUAUGUGUAAGUAACUGUGCACAUCUUGACGGUACCUAAUCAGAAAGCCCCGGCUAACUACGUG
rnacentral:rRNA from 1 species